GCAAUUAUUCAAGCCUUUGGAUGGAAAGAAGCUGUGCCAAUCUACGAGGAUAACGAAUUCGGAGAAGGGAUUGUACCGUUUUUAACCGAUGCCUUAGAGCAGGUAAAUGCGCGCGUACCUUACAGGAGUGUCAUCCCAUCAACAGCGACAGACGAGCAAAUCGUCGCAGAGCUUUCCAAGCUGAAGACUAUGCAAACAAGAGUAUUCAUCGUGCACAUGUUGAGCAGCCUCGGUUCUCUCCUGUUCGCCAAAGCAGCACAACUAGGAAUGAUGAGUAAAGAUUACGCAUGGAUAAUAACAGACAGCAUCACAAACGAAUUAAAUUCAAUGGAUCCUUCUGUCCUAGCAUCCAUGCUAGGAGUAAUAGGAGUAAAGCCUUAUAUUCCACAGACAAAAGAGCUGGACGACUUUGCAAUUCGAUACAAAAACAUGACUCUGCAGAGCAAUCCAAAAGCUCUAAAUCUGGACAUAUAUGGUAUAUGGGCUUAUGACUCGGCUCUUGCACUAGCCAUGGCAGUUGAAAAAGCAGGGUUAUCAAAUCUUACAUAUCAAAAGACAAACACGUCGACAAAUUCUACUGAUCUUGAAGCCUUUGGGGUAUCGUUAAGUGGACCAAAGCUAAUUCAGGCUUUAUCGAGUACCACAUUUAGAGGCCUUGCUGGAAACUUCCAAUUAGUCGAUGGUCAACUCCAAGCACCUCCUUAUGAAAUAGUCAACAUUGUUGCUCAUGGAGUUAGUGGCAUAGGAUAUUGGACAAAAGAGAAUGGAAUUGUAAACAAACUAAAGUUCACUAGUUCAAGCACAAGCGCAUAUUCAACUUCCAAAGACAACCUCGGAUCUAUUACAUGGCCAGGCAACGAAUCAUCUCCACCUAAAGGUUGGGCAGUUCCGACAAAAACCAAGAAACUGAGAGUAGGAGUGCCUGUAAAGGCUGGUUUCACCGAAUUCGUGCGUGUUACGUGGAAUUCGGACAAUACUACUAAAGUGGAAGGAUACUGCAUAGAUGUUUUUGAUGCGGUGAUGGCAGCACUACCAUAUGAUGUGCCGUAUGAAUACAUUCCAUUUGCAACACCUGAUCGCAAGAUGGCUGGAGUUUACAAUGAUUUGGUCUAUGAAGUGUACCUCGGAGUAAGUUCUUCUUUCUUUCCUACAAAAUUAAAAACCAAAUACAUUUUUAUCAACACAGAAGAUGCAGUAUGCUGUGCCUGAACGUUUUUUUUUUUUUUUUUUUUUUUUUUUUUUUUUUUUUUUGUUUUCGCUUAUUAAUGAACAGAACUAUGACGCAGUAGCUGGAGACGUAACAAUUCUCGGAAAUAGGUCUCAGUAUGUCGACUUCACCCUGCCUUACAGAGAGUCUGGUGUUUCGAUGGUUGUACCGAUCCCAGAAGAUAAGAAGGGAAAUACAUGGCUAUUGGUGAAGCCGUUGACUUGGGAACUGUGGUCGACAAUCUUUGUCUCCUUUGUUUUAUUCGGGAUUUUGGUUUGGUUUCUUGAACGCCCAAGAAAUAGAGAUUUCAGAGGGACUGGUUGGGAUCAAUUUUGCAUGAUAUUCUGGUUUUCCUUCUCCACCAUGUUCUUUGCCCACAGUAAGCCACCUUUCAUCAUUUAAAUUACAUUUAGUCAUUUUGCCAAAUGUUACACUAAAGCAAAAUAUAGAGUAUAAUCAUCUAGUCAGAUGUUGAGGAUUAAACCUACUUAACUAACGGAGCAUAGAAAAGGUAAUAAAAUAAGAAGUUAUUUCUGACCUUUCGGCAUUGAAUUUUUUUUUUUGGUAGAGGAGAGGGUGGUAAGCAACUCCGCAAAGGUAGUGGUGAUUGUAUGGCUCUUGGCGGUAUUUAUAUUAACCCAAGGCUAUGCUUCGAGUCUCACAUCCAUGUUAACAGUCCAGAAACUGACAGAUACUGAUGUUAACGAGCUUAUUCGAAACAAGGAAUAUGUGGGCUACUCCAAUACCUCUUUUGUAUACGAAUUUCUGAAAAAACGUUUCGAUAAGUCGCAACUUCGGCCGUUCAAGUCAGCGGAGGAAAUGGAUCAACUUCUCUCCAAAGGGAGUGCAAACGGUGGAAUUGCUGCUGCCUUUCACGAGAUUCCAUACUUAAAUCUGUUUAUAGCAAAAUACCGUUCAAAAUACAUGAUGGUCGGACCCACAUAUAAGGCUGCUGGUUUCGGAUUUGUAUGUGACUCCCUUGACUACAUAUACGUUUCCAUUUUGCGUUGUCGUCUUUUUUUCUUUCUAGACUCUACUUCUCUCUUCUUUUCUGCAGGUCUUCCCAAUAGAUUCUCCUCUAGUACCUCAUGUUUCGAGGAAAAUUCUGAGUGUGACCGAGGGCCAGACGAUGGUGGAGAUUGAGAAGAAGUGGUUGGGAGGUGAGGCCAAACGGCCGGACACUAACACCAAAAGUCUCGGCCUAUCAAGCUUCAGGGUGGUCUUUAUUAUUGUCGGAGCAACCGGACUUGCAGCGAUUAUAAGUUAUAUGAUUAUGUUCGGAUAUGGAACUCAUGUCCACAGUGACGAACCCACAAUCGAGAGACAGAUUUAUGAGUUAUGUGAGUUACUCAAGCGUUGCGAGGAAAGAGACCAACAAAUAAAUAAUCCUGGGAAUCGGAAUGGAAACUAGUGAACCACCAAAAUGCUGUCACAUACAGGUUUUUCGUCGUUGUGAGGAGGUUGUAUCCUAAUUUGUAAAUCUCAUUCUACGUGUUUCAUCGUUUUUCCCCCCACUUUAAAUUGUAUUUGUUGAAAUAAUAAUGUCUUGGGAUUAAAUUCUCUUCUGAGAAUAUCUUCUUGGGACUUCAAUCAGCCACAACUCUUAAGUUAUCUCAAGAUUACAAGCACUCCCUAACAAAGUUCAAAUAUUUCUCUCUUAAUCUUUAAGAUAUAUAUAUUUAACUUGAAAGUUCAACAUAAAAAUAGUUUCUUCUUUUGUAAGUAAGUAAACCUUAAGAAUAUAUUUCAUACUUUAGACGACAUGUAUUCCUGGAUAAGAAACCCGGUGCUUUUAGUUCAAGUCCGGGAUACGAAGCCCGUAUUGUCUAAAAUUUAAAAUUAAAUAUUUAAAUUCAAUUUCACGGUUUAAGAGAAAAAGGCAUAAUUCUGGGCUUUGUAGCCCGUAGCGUAGUUCGGGCUACAAAGUCCGGAAUUAUGAACUUCACUCUGGAUUACGAAAUCCCGAGCCUUCAAAAUCUAUUUAGAUAUACCCUAUUAAAAUUUGCAAGUAGAAUGAGUAGAGAAAAGAAUGACAACUAGAAUGAGUCAAUUACAGUAAUAUCCAAUGACCUAGGACUUAUUUACAUUCUUCUUCUUGGCUAAGUCAAUUACAGUAAUAUCCAAUGGUUUAUUUAUUAUUAUUAUUAUUAUUUUUUAAUCCAAAUACCGUUUUAAAUACACACUCAAACAGAUUUGAACCCCAUCUUCUUGACACCCCACACUGAGAGAAACCACAAUACCAACCUAAGUUAAACCUUGAUCGACAAUAAAAAGUUACCAUAAACGUUAACUUUACAAAUUCGCCAAUCGGGUGCAAGAAUUGUUGGUGUUGAAACUUGAAACUCAUCGGUGUUUUAUAAUUGUAUUCUAGAAUAAACUACAGAAAUUACUUAAGACUUGUGCUAUUUGUAAAAAUAAAAUAAAUAACCAUAUAACUUUUCAGGUCAACUAAGAAAGUAUCAGCCCUUUUUUUUUCAUCUAGUUGCAUGCAUGUUGGAUGGUUCAUUGACUUUUAAAAAGUAAACUCCAUGAUUCUUUCAGCAAACUGUAUUACAUAUAUUUUAGCUGAUGUGACAGUUCAUGUUCAAACAUCCAAACAAUGUUAACCAAAGAAUGAUCCCAUUCUCUCGAAUCUCAAACACGCAAAAUUUUGCCAAAAAGAUAUGGAGAAGAAAAAUACCUGCAACGAUAAUCCCAUUUUGUGUAUCUUCUUUUACUUACUGAUCACUUUAAAUAUUUUCUCCACAAAAACAGCAACGGCCCAAAUCAUCCGUGUAAAAGUCGGAGUUGUGUUAGACAUGGAUGCAUUUGGACGGAUGACAUUCACGUGCAUAUCAAUGGCCCUCUCGGAAUUUUAUGUUACAAAUGACAAAUAUAGAACGAAGCUGAGUCUCACCAGUCGGGACUCUAAAAACGACGUCGUUGGGGCAGCUGCAGCAGGUACAUCAAAGCCUAAAAAAUACACACCCACACACACUCAGGAAAUUAGGAGGAAGAAAUAGAAAGAAAAAAAGAUUAUGCACUUAACCAACUCGUACCGUAAGAUGUUUAUUUGUCAAAUGCUCUAGGAUGAUGAAUUUUUCUUUGCCUUCAAACUUCAUUUCUUUUGCUAGCCUUUUUCAUAUAUUAUUUCCUUCAAGUAGGGCCGAACUGCAAAACAAAUCCGUUGGUCAUAAUUUUCUUAUGCAACCAUUUUCUGUUGCGAUGAUGAGUAGCACAUCAACAGCCAUCGCCUUUGUCUUAUCUUAAAAUUUCGAAUUAAUAUAUAUAUAUAUAUAUAUAUAUAUAUAUAUAUAGAUAUAUAUAUAUAUUAGGAUAAAAAGAUAAUCAGACCUAACCUGAUAAGAGGUUUAUUUAAUUUACAUAAUUCUCUGGUUUUCUUAUUCUUGUUAUGAGGUCUACCAUAUCAAACAAUGGGUCAAUACUCAAUAGCUUUAUCUUGUCUGGAAAAUGUAGACUAUUCAAUAAACUAGUUCGAAAUUCAGAAAUUUUAGAAUAUUAGCAAUUUAGCUCGUUCGAUAGAUAAGUACAUUUAUAAAAACGUUCGAUAGAUAAGUACAUUUAUAACAGUAACAUUGUACUAUAUCGUCAGUAUCUUGCAUAGGUUCAACAGAACAAAUGUUUAUCGGCUAGAUAUCAUAGAGACAAAACAGAGUCUGAAUUAUCUGUUCCUCAAAGGUCAGUUUGCUUAAGCAAGUGCUAGUUAUACAUAUUUUUCGCAAUAAAAGCUAUAAACUAGUCCUAAAUGUAUAGGCGUGAUCUGUUUUAAAGAAAUUUUAAGCCCAAAAAAUUUGAAUUUUCAACAGGUGCGGAGAAACAUUGAAAUAUUAAAUUGACUAAAUAUUCACUCUCAAGAUGGACGUAUCUAGUACUAUUCAGUUUUCUUUCCAACAAAUGAGAUUCUAUACCAGGAAAAUUUGUAUUAAAAUAGUAGUUAAAAUAUUACCUUAUACUGGGAGAAGUGCAAACCGUUCAAGAUGCACAUUACUAAUUGUAACAGUCAACUGAAUGAUUUCUUGCUCAUGAAAUGCAGGUCUGGACCUACUGAAGAAUGUUGAAGUGCAAGCCAUCAUCGGUCCCGUGUACUCAAGUCAGGCUAACUUCCUUAUUUCUCUUGGACUCAAAGCUAAAGUUCCCAUCAUUACUUUCUCAGCCACGAGUCCUUCUCUUUCAUCGCUUCGUAGUCCAUAUUUCAUUCAGGCUACUCUAAAAGACUCUUCACAAGUAGGCGCAAUCGUUGCAAUCAUUCAAGCCUUUGGAUGGAGAGAAGUUGUAACCAUUUACGAGAAUACUGAAUUUGGAGAAGGGAUUAUACCAUUUUUAACCGAUGCCUUAGAAAAGGUAAAAGUGCGUGUACCGUACAGGAGUGUCAUUCAAACUUCAGCAACAGAUGAUCAGAUCCUCGCAGAGCUUUACAAGUUGAUGGCUAUGCAAACCAGAGUUUUCAUCGUCCACAUGUUGAACCCUCUUGCUUCUCGCCUGUUCACCAAAGUGGAACAACUAGGGAUGAUGAGUAAAGAUUAUGCAUGGAUAAUAACAGAUAGCAUCACAAACGAUUUAAAUUCAAUGAACCCUUCUGUCAUAGCAUCCAUGCUAGGAGUAAUAGGAGUAAAACCUUAUGUUCCAAAUACAAAGGAACUGGAUGACUUUAUAACUCGAUACAAGAAAAGGGUUCUGCAAAGCAAUCGAAAAGCCCUUGGCGUGGACAUUUACGGGCUAUGGGCUUACGACUCGGCCAUAGCACUAGCCAUGGCAGCAGAAACUGCAGGACUAAAAAAUCUUACAUAUCAAGAAACGAACACAUCAACAAAUUCUACGGAUCUUGAAGCCAUUGGAGUAUCAAUAAGUGGACCAGAGCUCAUUCAGGCUUUAUCAAAUAUCACAUUUAGGGGCCUUGCUGGAGAUUUUCGAUUGGUCGAUGGCCAACUCCAAGCGCCUCCAUAUGAGAUAGUCAAUAUGGUUGGUCCUGGAGCUAGAGGCAUAGGAUAUUGGACAAAAGAGAACGGAAUCAUCAACAAACUGAACUUCACUAGUUCAAGCACAAAUGAAUAUUCCACUUCCAAGUCCAACCUUGGGCCUACUAUAUGGCCAGGCGACGAAUCAUUUCCACCUAAAGGUUGGGUGGUUCCUACAAGAGGGAAGAAAUUGAAGGUAGGAGUACCCGUAAAGGAUGGUUUCACAGAUUUCGUUCGUGUAACUUGGAAUUCCGACAAUUCUACAACAGUGGAAGGAUACUGCAUAGAUGUUUUUGAUGCUGUGAUGGCAGCACUGCCAUAUGGUGUGCCGUAUGAAUACAUUCCAUUUGCAACAACUGAUCACAAGAUGGCUGGUGAUUACAAUGCGCUGACCCAGCAAGUGUACCUUGGAGUAAGUAUCUUCUUUAUUACAAUGAAUUUAAAAAUCAAACACAUUUUUUUAUCAACAUAGAGCAAGAUGGUACAGCUGACCUUUUCUCUAAUCAAUCAACAGAAUUAUGACGCUGUGGCUGGGGAUGUAACAAUUCUAGCAAAUAGGUCACAGUACGUCGACUUCACUUUGCCGUAUACUGAGUCUGGUGUUUCAAUGGUCGUACCAAUCCAACACGAUAAGAGCAAAAAUACAUGGCUUGUUUUUAAGCCACUGACUAGGGAGCUGUGGUUCACAACCUUUUUCUCUUGUGUUGCAAUUGGGUGUCUGGUUUGGUUUCUUGAACGUGAUGUAAAUACAGAAUUCAGCGGGUCUCCUUUGCAUGAAUUUGGCAUGAUAUUCUGGUUCGCCUUCUCCACCAUGGUCUUUGCUCACAGUAAGCCACCUUUCAUCUUUUAACUACAGUCAUUUUUGCCAAAUGUUACACUAGAGCAAAUCUAAGGCCGUGUUUUGGCAAUUGAUAAUAUUGUAAACAUCUAAACUGAUAUUGAAUGUUAAUAAAAACAAGAAGUUGUUUCUGACCAUUUGGCAUUGAAUUUUUUGGUAGGGGAGAGGGUGAUAAGCAACUGCGCCAGGUUUCUGCUGAUCAUAUGGCUCUUGGCAGUAUUUGUAUUAACCCAAAGCUACUCCGCCAGUCUUACAUCCAUAUUAACAAUCCAGAAGGUGGAGCCAGCAGUUACUGAUAUUAAUGAGCUCAUAAGAAACAAGGAAUAUGUAGGCUACUCGAACACAUCAUUUGUUUUUGGAUUUCUCAAGAAAAUGGAAUUUGAUGCAUCUCGACUUCGGUCAUUCAAGUCAGCGGAGGAAAUGGAUGAACUUCUCUCCAAAGGGAGUGCAAAUGGUGGAAUAGCAGCUGCCUUUCAUGAGAUCCCGUACAUAAAGCUGUUUCUAGGCAAAUACUGUUCAAAAUACAUGAUGGCCGGGCCCACGUACAAGGCUGAAGGUUUUGGAUUCGUAUGUGACCCUCCUCAUCACCUACUUUCAAGUGUAUCUAUCACAUAUAUUUUUUUUUCAUUCUAUGUUGUCGUUUUCUGUACUUUUAAUAAAAUAUCUCUCUUCUUUGCUGCAGGUCUUCCCAAUAGAUUCUCCUCUAGUACCUGAUGUUUCACGAGAAAUUUUGAAUGUGGCGGAGGGCCAGAAGAUGGUCGAGAUUGAGACGACGUGGUUGGGAGAUAAGACCAAAUGUCCAGACCUUAACAGCUUACUUCCACCUAAGAGUCUUGGCCUUUCAAGCUUCAGGGGACUCUUUAUUAUGGUAGGAAUAGCUGGAGUUUUAGCACUUAUAUUUAGAUUCUUCAGUAAAAAACCGCAAUUCCCUGGUGAUGAACUCACAGCGCAGAGCCAGAGAGAUGAAUUACAUCGGUUACUGAACAGGAGGUACGAGGUAGGAGGUGGUCAACAAGGCAAUGUACCUGAGAAUCCAAAUGAACUGCCCGCAAUUCGGGCACAUUUACAUGAACAUGAGUUACAUGAGUUACCGAUGAGGUUCAAUAAUAGAGAUGAACAAGGCAAUUAGUCUAAGAAUCUGAAUUAAAGCGAGUGAAUCACCUAAUUUGUAAUUUUUUGCUUCCACUAUGAUUGUGAUAUAUUGGUACUCUUUGUUGGAUCCUCCGUGACACUUUGUAAGCUGUAACCGAACUUUUAGUAUGAAGAUGUGAUACUAAGAAGGGUGUUCCAAAUCGUGAGGUAAAAACUCAAAUCUUGCUAUCUUAGAAAAUUCUACUCCCCCUUUCCACAAUCCUACUACAGUUCAUCCUCGUCAACAUAUUUGGAUUGUUCUACAUUUUGCUUUUGCUGUAGCAAGAUAGUCAUCGCCACUUUAAAUGUGUAUAACUUCACAAGUGCAAUAGCAGAUGUAUGCUACCUUUCAAUUUCUGAUAUGGGCUACAAAUCACUAGCUUUGAUUAAAAUAUCAUUACAAAGAAGGAAAAAAAAAUGAACUCUGUUAAAGGGACAUCAAGGAAACAUAAAAAAAGCUAGAGGUGUUAUUGUAAAUCAUAAAUCAGUUGCUACAUGUUUCAUUUUCUUUUCCUUGAUUUCUCUUCUUAGGACUUGCACCAGCAAGUUCUCUUCUGUUUCAUUUCAUGUUCGAACCUUUGUACUCUACUGUAAUUAUGACAUAUAAAUUGGAAUUCUGUGUUGGUUAUCUAUACACAUCUAAAAGUCGUCCCGGUUUAAAUUUUAGUUUAGGUCCUUCAGUAGUCAAACUUUUAGUAUGAGGGUAUACCUAAAGAGUGUGUCCAAAUGACCUAAAAUCAUGUCGUAGAACUCACAUUUGGCUGUCUUAUAAACUUCUAUUCACCGCUUCCACAGUCCCACUAGAAUUCCUCCUCGUUAAAGUGUUUACUAAGGGAUGCCAUUCACUAGAGAUCAUACAUAUUCUUUUAGGCAUUUCAACAAACAUGAAAUAGGCAUCAACACCAACAUUAACAAAAAAAAAAAACACAGAAUACCCCCUCAAACAAUAGUUUCUACAAUUGACCCCAAAAAAUAAACUGACACAUAAAUAGAACACAUUUUGUUAUAAGGAUUCCCAAUCAGGAUUAGGUCAGAUAUACUUGGUGUUGAACGAAUCCAAAGUGGUUGAUAUAAAUAGAAGAAAAAAAAACAUAUACAGCAAGUGGUAAUAUUAAAGCAAAAUGAGAGAGCGUUUACCUGAGUAAGAUUAACAGUCUCGAUCAUCCCCAUGGCCAGAGGCGUAGACGUGUCUGGCCGAGGUCUCUUUCACACUCUUCUUCUUCUUCUUCGCCCAGUCAAGUCAAUAUAAGAAAAUGAUCGAUAAAACCAAAUGUCCAGAUUCUAGUACUUUGUUCUCGUCCAACAGUAUCGGUUUAGAGAGCUUUUGGGGGCUGUUCUUGAUAGUGGGAAUUGCUGCAGCUUCAGCAUUGAUAAUCUACGCGAUCAAAUUCCUACGCGAAAAAUAGAGAUAGAGAGAGUGGCUGUGGAGGUGAUUGCGUGAAGUGAGCAGCAGAAUCAUCUAACGAACAUGAUUUUCGAUUUAGUCCGUCGACUUUUUCAGUGGCCUCUCCGUGUACUAAUGGCCCGACUUCUCGAGCCCAAAUGCGCAGAAUGUAGAUUUUCGAGCUAUGCAGCAAGAAAUCGAACUUGUCAAUCCGAAUCAAAACGAGCAAUUGUCAUCAACAACGGUGGACUUGGCGCAUGAAGUUCACUAAGUGUGGUAGCUUUAUCUUUCAUCUCAAUCAGAUAGGGGUAAGAUGACAUCUUGUAAUUUCAUUUCCAUUGUAGAAGAGUACUCUCAUCUAACAUUUCAAGAAGAAUAAAAGAAAAAAAGAUCUCGAUUAGUGUCUUGUUCCAAGAUAGUUCCUUAGGAGCUUUAAUGCCUGAAAUUUUGAUUUGCGAUAACACAUCAUUAGCAUUAAAACUAGCAUUGAUACAAUAUCGAAAAAAAUGUAAUUGUGUAGAAAUUCGGAGAAGGGCUGUUUAGGAAAAAUCACAAAGCUACAGAUUUCACCUUAAGUACGAGCUAAUAGAGGAAAAGAGAUGCAUGACUUGAGUAUGACAAUGGAAGAAUGCAGGCAAUUUCUAAGAGUUAAUAUUCUUGUAGGCAUUUCAACAAACAUGUACUAGGCAUCCACACAAUCCAUCAAUGCAAUCAUUAAAAAGAAUAUAAAUCAGUAAUUAUUAAUUACCAACAUCUCUGUCACGAGUGACGACAACUUGGAUUCUUCUUCUCAUAAAGUACUCCGAGGUUGUCAAUAUUAUCCGCUCUAGUUAGAUUUAAAUAUUUGCACUUGUAAUAAAUACAUUUUCAAUAUUCUGAGUAAGAGCACUUUGUUCACGUCUUCCCCUGCCUUGCCAAAUCAAUUACAUUUAUAACCAAUAAAUCUUUCAAAGUCAAAGUCAACCAUAGAAGUUGCUAAACAUGAUUAAUCACCCUAAUUGCCUCAUGUAAAUUUCAAAUUUCGAAGAGUUCGAGUUUUUUUUGUAAUAAGUCAAACCUCAAGAAUGAAUGAAUAAUUGUUUAUAAGGGUAAAUUACGGUCAUUCCCAUAGGGUAAUGCUAAAUUACGAAAAAAUCCCUCAUGUUUGGAUAUUUAUAAUCAAUUAAUCAUCCCCUCAAGUCCAUCCUUGCGGUGUCAAAUUUGGAAUCUUCCAUAAUCUAGAAGAUUACGUUGAAUUUGACACCGUAAGGGUGUACGCGUAGAAGAUUCAUAGUCGAUGGAUGGUUGUAAUUAUCCAAACAUAAGUGAGUUUGUCGUAAUUUAAUCUUAACUCGGGGGUGGCCGUAACAUAAAAAAAAAAUCAUUCUAAUCAAACCUUUUAACAAGCAUUUAUGAAAAUUUACAACAUCAACCAAUUUUGGAUAGCUCAUUGACUUUACAAAAGUAAACUCCCAUGAUUCUCCAAAGAAACUUCAAAAUACAAUAUAUUAGGACAGCUCAUUUUGGGUCCUACACCAUGUACUUAGUUCUGGAUGUAACAGUUCAAAUUCAAACAUCCAAAAACACAAUGCCCUGUGUAUGCAUUUUUUUUUGGUAAUCAAAUUAAAUCAUCAUCUAGAAAGAAAAAAAAAAGAAAUGGAGAAGAUCAAAACCUGCAGAUAUGUCAUUUUGCAUCUCUUCUGUUAUUUAUGUGCCGUGAUUUUCUCAACAAAAAUGGCAGCGGCACAGAACAUCUCUGUAAGAGUAGGAGUGGUGCUAGACAUGGAUGAGUAUGGAAAGAUGGCAUUCAACUGCAUAUCAAUGGCGCUAUCGGAUUUCUACACUACACAUGAUUCUUACAACACGAGGCUGUUUCUCUACAACCGGGACUCCAACGGAGACGUCAUCGGGGCAGCUGCUGCAGGUACUCCGCCUAAAACACACACAACACACAUUCAAGAAACAAGGAAGAAACGAAAAAAAUAUAAAAAAAUUAUAAACGUAAUCAACUCAUAUAGUAAGAUUUUUUAAUUACUAUGUCAGAUGCUGUAGGAUGAAUAUUCAAUUGGGCCCAACUGCCAACUUUUCUGUUGGUUAUAACUUUCAGGCUUCAGCAGCAUUACUUGUUCUUCUAACUAUACUUCAAGCAUAAUUGGAAACUUACCCAAACAUAGUAAUCCCAAUGUAUAACAUAUUUACCCUCACCAAAAUAUUUCUUUACGGAAAUCGCAUCACAACAUUACCGAUAUUGAAGGAUAAUAGGGUAAAAGGACUAUUUUCUUCACCACGUGACAUCUUUUGAUAACGUUCAUUACUACUGACAAAUCCAGAUCAAGUGAAUUUUUUUUCCUAGAUGAGAAAUACCCUAAACGGUCAUCGCUUUUUACAUCUUAAUUUCAAAAUAAAAAGCAUACAACUAUGUUAUGUUGCCCAUGAAAUGCAGGUUUGGACCUGCUGAAGAAUAUUGAAGUGCAAGCCAUAAUAGGUCCCAUGUACUCGGUACAGGCUAAUUUCCUUAUUUCUCUUGGACAGAAAGCUCACGUUCCUAUUAUUACCUUCUCAGCCACAAGUCCUUCUCUUUCAUCACUAAGGAGUCCUUAUUUCGUUCGGGCUACUCUAAACGACUCUACGCAAGUAAACCCCAUAGUUGCAAUUAUUCAAGCCUUUAAAUGGAAAGAAGUCGUGCCAAUCUAUGAGGAUAACGAAUUCGGGGAAGGGAUUGUACCGUUUUUAAGCGAUGCCUUAGAACAGGUAAAUGUGCGCGUACCUUACAGGAGUGUCAUUCCGUCAUUAGCAACAGACGAACAAAUUGUCGAUGAGCUUAACAAGCUGAAGACUAUGCAAACAAGAGUAUUCAUCGUGCACAUGUUACGCAGUCUCGGUUCUCGCCUGUUCGCCAAAGCAGCACAACUAGGAAUGAUGAGUAAAGAUUACGCAUGGAUAAUAACAGACAGCAUCACAAACGAAUUAACUGCAAUGGAUCCUUCUCUCGUAGCAUCGAUGCUAGGAGUAAUAGGAGUAAAACCUUAUAUUCCACAGACAAAAGAGCUGGACGACUUUGCAAUUCGAUACAAAAACAAGAUUCAGCAGAGCAAUCCAAAAGCUCUAAAUCUGGACAUAUAUGGUAUAUGGGCUUAUGACUCGGCCCUUGCACUAGCCAUGGCAGUUGAAAAAGCAGAGUUAGCAAAUCUUACAUAUCAGAAGACGAACACGUCGACAAAUUCUACAGAUCUUGAAGCCUUUGGGGUAUCGUUAAGUGGACCAAAGCUCAUUCAGGCUUUAUUGAGUAUCACGUUUAGAGGCCUUGCUGGAAACUUCCAAUUAGUCGAUGGCCAACUCCAAGCACCGCCUUACGAAAUAGUCAACAUUGUUGGUCCUGGAGCUAGUGGUAUAGGAUAUUGGACAAAAGAGAAUGGAAUUGUCAACAAACUAAACUUCAGUAGUUCAAGCGCAAGCGCAUAUUCAACUUCCAAAGACAACCUCGGAUCAAUUACAUGGCCAGGCAACGAAUCAUCGCCACCUAAAGGUUGGGUGGUUCCAACAAAAACCAAGAAAAUGAGAGUAGGCGUGCCUGUAAAGGAUGGUUUCACUGAAUUCGUCCGUGUUACAUGGAAUUCCGACAAUUCUACGACAGUGGAAGGAUUCUGCAUAGAUAUUUUUGAUGCGGUGAUGAAAGCACUACCAUAUGAUGUGCCGUAUGAAUACAUUCCAUUUGCAACUCCUGAUCACAAGAUGGCUGGAGAUUAUAAUGAAAUGGCCUAUCAAGUGUACCUUGGAGUAAGUAUUUUCCCUUUUCUUAUUGAAUUUAAAAAUCAAAUACAUUUUCUAUCAGCACAAAGCAAGAUGCACUAUACUAUGCCUGAAUUCUUCUAUUCUCUGCUUAUUGAUGAAUAGAACUAUGACGCUGUGGCUGGUGACGUAACAAUUCUAGGAAAUAGGUCUCAGUACGUAGACUUCACUCUGCCUUUUAUAGAGUCUGGUGUUUCGAUGGUUGUACCGAUCCCAGAGGAUAAGAAGGGAAAUACAUGGAUAUUAGUGAAGCCAUUGACUUGGGAGUUGUGGUCAACAAUAUUCUUCUUUUUUGUUAUAAUUGGGAUUUUGGUUUGGCUUCUUGAACGCCCAGAAAAUAGAGAUUUCAGAGGGUCUCGUUGGGACCAAUUUUGCAUGAUAUUCUGGUUCAGCUUCUCCACCAUGUUCUUUGCUCACAGUAAGCUACCUUUCAUCUUUUAAACUACAGUAAGUCCUUUUUUACCAAAUAUUAAAACCUACUUAAUUAACUCUGCCAAUUUUGGCAUUGACUUUUUUUUUUUUUGGUAGAGGAGAAGGUGAAAACCAACUCCGCCAAGAUAGUGGUGAUUGCAUGGCUAUUGGCGGUAUUUAUAUUAACCCAAGGCUAUGCUUCCAGUCUUACAUCCAUGUUAACAGCCCAGCAGCUGAUAGUGAAUGAUGUUAAUGAGCUUAUAAGAAACAAGGACUAUGUAGGCUACUCGAAUACAUCGUUUGUAUAUGGAUUUCUGAAAAACCUUUUUAACGAGUCGCAACUUCGGCCUUUCAACUCAGCAGAGGAAAUGGAUGAACUUCUCUCCAAAGGGAGUGCAAAUGGUGGAAUAGCAGCUGCCUUUCAUGAGAUCCCAUAUAUAAAGAUGUUUCUAGGCAAAUACUGUUCGAAAUACAUGAUGGUCGGACCCACUUAUAAGGCUGCUGGUUUCGGAUUUGUAUGUGACCCUCUUCACUAUAUAUAUGUUUUCAUUUUUUAUUUUUAUUUUUGCUUUCUAGACUCUCUUUCUCUCUUAUUUGCAGGUUUUUCCAAUAGAUUCUCCUCUAGUACCUGAUGUUUCGAGAGAAAUUUUGAAUGUGACUGAGGUUCAAAAAAUGGUGGAUAUUGAAAAGAAGUGGUUGGGAGAUGAGUCCAAAUGUCCAGACACUGACACCAAAAGUAUUGGCCUAUCAAGCUUCAGGGUAGUCUUUAUUAUUGUAGGAACAGUUGGAAUAGCAGUGGUCAUAAAUUAUAUGAUUAGACAAGGACGUGAAAAUAAGAAUGUCCAUAAAGAUGAUCCCCCAAUUGUCCAUAAUGAUCCCCCAAUUGUCCAUAAUGAUCCCCCAAUUGUCCAUAAUGAUCCCCCAAUUAUCCAUAAUGAUCCCCCAAUUAUCCAUAAUGAUCCCCCAAUUGUCCAUAAUGAUCCCCAAUUAUCCAUAAUGAUCCCCCAAUUAUCCAUAAUGAUCCCCCAAUUAUCCAUAAUGAUCCCAAAAUUGUCGAUAAUGAUCCCACAAUUGAGAGACAGAUAUAUGAGUUAUGGCAGUCACUAAAGACUUUCAAGGAAAGACUAACACCUAAACUCUAGCACAUGUGGCUGUCAGGUUUCUGUUUACCUCAAAAUAAAGAUUGGUGUGCGACUCUUAAUUGAGGAGGUGGUAUCCUAAUUUCUAAAUCUCAUUCUACGUGUUUCGUAAUUUUUUUCCCCUUAAAUUCUCUUUCUUGAAAUAACGUGAUUAACUUCUCUUCUGAGAAUAUCUUCUUGGGACUUUGAUCGGCAAGUUCUCUUAUGUUUUGUUUCAUGUUCUAACCUUUUGCUUUUACUGUGAUUAUGAUACAUAAAUUUGAACUUUGUUUUGGUUAUGUAUAUCCUCAUAAAACUUUAUCCAAAAGUUUGCAUUUUUUAUCGAUUCCUCAUUGACUCUUGUAAGUUGUAAGGGUGUGAGAGUGAGACUAAGAAAUGUGUUCGAAAUCAUGACAUAGAAACUCAAAUUUUUGCUGUCUUGGAAAGUUCUACUCACCCCUUACAUAUUCCCACUAUAAUUCCCUCUCGUCAAACAUAUUUGGAUUCUUCUACAUUAUAGCUUUUACGAUGGAAAAACUUAAGCUAACAGUGAAAAUGAGAUGCACAAGGAAUUAAAUGUUUACUGAGGAAUGACAAUCAUUACGAGCACGACAAUGGAAGUAAGGAGAUAAUUUCUAGGAGUUCAUAUUUGGGUACCGAGUAAGAAUUUGAGUAUCCUUGUCUAACAUGUUGAGCUUCGUGCCGCACGUGCAGACGUAUCUGAUCGAGGUCUCCUUUCUCCAAUUCUUCUUCUUCUUUUUGCCAAACUCAACUACAUUUGUACACAAUGAAUCACUCAAAGUCAGUUUUACCAAUAAAAAAGGACAAAAGGAAAAAAAAUCAAAUUUACAUUAUUUACUCAGCUCUGUGAUUACAUGGAAGUUGGAAAUAAAACAGAAUCCUUCUGUGAAUCUUGAGAAUAUAUUUUGUAAUUUACGCAGAGUGUUUUACGGGCUACGAAACAUUCCAAUUUUUCAAUAACAUGCAAUAUUUAAAUUAUGUUCUAAAAUUGCGAACACUCUCUUGAGUAAUUACAAUACAAAAUACCCUAAAUUUAAUUUUAAUUUACAGGUAAUUGGAAAGGUGUAAUCUGCAAGUGGAAUGGAUUGGGAAAUGAGUAGAGAAAAGAAUGACAAGUAGACUAUGAGUGUGCUUGUCUUCACGUCUUGAGCCUUAUGGAAAGUUGACCUUUCUGGUCGAAGACUUAUUUAUAUUCUUCUUCUUGACCAAGUCAACACACACGUACACACCCAAUCAAAUUUGAACCCCGUCCUCUCCCACACCCCACAGUGAGAGAAAAAGCCACAAUACCAACCUAAGGCCUUAAUUGACGAUAAAAGGUUACCUUUAACAAAUAGUCAAUAGGAUACAAGGACUGUUGGUGACGAAACCAAUAGGUAUUUUAUAUUUUGGAAUAAAUUACAGAAACUAUUUAAGACUUGUGCUAUUUGUAAAAGUAAAAUAAAGGGAAAGAUCAUAUAACUUUUCGGAUCAGCUUAAAAAUUACCAACCAUUUUUUUCAUCAAGUUGCAUGCAUGUUGGUGAUACGUCAUUGACUUCACAAAAGUAAACUCUAUGAUUCUUUCAGCACACACCAUGCUGGAUUAUAUAUAUAUUCUGUAUUAUACACAUAGCACAGACCAUGUUUUGGGCCCUACCUAUAUUUUAACUGUGGAUGUGACAGUUGAAGACAAACCCUUCAAACAAUGGUAACCAAACAAUGAUCAUUCUCUCAAGUCUCAAACAUGCAAAAUUUAGGAAAAAAGGAUAUGGAGAAGAGAAGAAUUACCUGCAGCAAACCAAUUCUGCAUCUCUUCUUUUAUUUAUUGAUCACUUUGAAGAUUUUUCCUACAAAAAUGGCGACGGCUCAGAACAUCACUGUAAGAGUAGGGGUUGUGUUAAACAUGGAUGGUUUUGGACAGAUGUCAUUCAACUGCUUAUCAAUGGCGCUUACGGAUUUCUACUCUACGCACAAACAAUAUAGAACGAAGCUGGUUCUUACCGACCGGGACUCCAAAGACGAUGCCGUUGGAGCAGCUGCAGCAGGUACUCUGCCUAUAAAAAAACAUAUAACACACACUCAGGAAAUAAGGAAGAAGAAAUAGAGGAAACAAAAAGUUAUAAUUUGAUUUAGCCUAUUAACUAUUCAAUGAUUUUCUUAUUCUUGUUCUGAGGUCUCCCAUGUGAAACAAUGGGUCAAUCGCUUUGUCUUGUCUGAAAAUGGAUGUUAUUAAUUAAACUAGUUGGCAAUCAAGAAAUUCUAUAAAUUUCAAAUUACAAUUCUGUAGGAACAAUCCAUAAUGAUUUUUUUGGGUAUGGCAUUUUAGUCUGUCCGGGAAACAAGUUUAUGUAUAAGAAAGAGUAAACGCUCUACUACUAUAUUGUUAGUUUCUUGCUCAAGUUCAACAGAACAAGAUGUUACUAGAUAUCACAGGGCCAAAAAACACUCUUAUUUAUCUGUUCCUCACAGGCUAGUUUGCUUAAGCAUUAUACAUAUUUUUCCCAAUAAAAGCUAUAAACUUUUCCUAGUUGUAUAAGUGAGAUUUUAAAAAAAAUUUAAGCCCACAAAACUUCAAUUUUCAAGAAAGGAGGAAGAACAUUGAAAUAUUAAAAUUUUCUAAAUAUUCACUCAAGAUGUGGCUGUAUCUACUACUAUUCAGUUCUUUACAUGGAAAAAUUGUGUUGAAGUACUAGCUGAAAUAUUACCAUAUACUGGGAAAGUGCAAACAGAUUCAAGAUGCACCUUCCAGAAUGUAGGCAAUCGACUGAUGAACGUUUUGUUGCACAUGAAAUGCAGGUCUGGACCUACUGAAGAACGUUGAAGUGCAAGCAAUCAUAGGUC
rnacentral:lncRNA from 1 species